GAAAAAACAAGGUCCGGAAGCUCAAAAUUGGGACCAUUGAAAUUUGUCCUUUUGGAGUGUCACCAGAGAAUGCCGACCAUGUCUUCAAAAUUGCAUUCUUCAUCAAGAGGCCCAAAACAAGACACCGGCCACGAAACCCAAACACGAAAUUCUUUUAAUGAUAUAAGUUUGUAGGCUGGACUAGACAGUAGCCUGGACGUGUAUGUCAGGAGACCUGAUCAACGCAGGGGCCGAACUAGUGAAUAUGUUGAAAUUAUGGAUAUCAACGGGACAGAUUAUACAGUUGAGAAGGUAAAGAAUGAUUUACUGGAAGGUUAUGUACAGGAUCCAUACAAUUAUCUUCUCGCUUUUUUCAAUGAGGACUACCCUGAAAGGGAGCCUAUAAUAGUCGAUCAAAAACAGAAAAUCACAGAAUGUAUAGAAUAUUUACAUUCAAAUAACUAUACAAUUGUUUUUGUUAAGAAAUAACUUAAUUAGGCUUUGUUGGCCUGUAUGAAAAUUCACAGCUAGUAUCAGAAUCAUGCCAUUUUUUUUUUUUACUAAUGAGUAGUCUUUAAUUAUCUAUUGCAUACACAGAAUGUUUAGACUUACGUUAAUACUCAUUUUUCCAUGUAGAUAUAUCACGCUUUUAGAGCUGAAUAAAUAACGCAAGUUGCAUUGAAAAAUUAAGGAAGAUUACUGGGAGGGUUUGACCGUUGGAAAAACGGGAGUAAUUGCCCUUUAUGGGCGGAAUCUCAUUAUUAUGGUCCCGUGAUCACCACCAUCCUGUAGAAUAGUCUUCAUUUUUACAUUCCCUUUUACAUCGAUGUAGAGGAAGAUUUUGUAUAAUCAUAUACUUUAAGCAGGAAUGUUUGGAAAAACAAAAUUAAAAUACCGACCAAUAGAUCUGAUUUUAUGUAAAUAUAUUAAACCAAAAAAAAAAAAAACUCAACGAACUUUAUCACUUCUACUGAUAUAGUUUCUUUAUUCCAUAGCACCCAUACUAUAGUACUACAAUACAAAUCUGACCAAAUCUCAUAUUGAAAAACGAUAAGACCAAAAAAAAAAAAACCACAUAAAUUUCUUUUUUGUAUUUCUCAAUCAAAAACUGUGAGAUGUACUUUAUCACUAAUCUCUUAGCCUAUAGGCAAAAUUUACCAUUUUUAUUUUACAGGUGUCUUAUAUUUUGAAUCUAAUUUGUUAUUUUACUGCUGGUGUGAUUGCUUCAGAUAGUAUUGAAAUAUAUUGCCAUAAAAAAAUAAAAUUAUUCAGAUCUUGAUAUUUCCGUUAAAUGUUAUAUAUUUUUAUAAUACACAACAUUUAUUUACUUUUAUCAUCAUCUGUCCCUUGAUUUUCGUCGAAGGGGUGCUGUGACCGUUUAUGAAACUGAUCAGUCCUUAUUUCGACGUCAAAAGCUGUUCAUAGCAGGUUCUCAAGAGAGGCCGGUCCAUUCUUUUACACUGUCCAGCCAGCUUUUCUUUGGACGACCUUUUCUUUGUGUUCCUUCUACUGUGCCAUGAAGGAUGUCUUUUGACCGAACCAACUCAGCUUUCUUCUCUUUAAGUUUAAGAAUAAACAUUCUAAUAUAUUUAUUGUGUAUUGCUUAUAAAUAUUUAAAUGUCUUUUACGAAAUAAAAAGUAAAAACAUG